rnacentral:rRNA from 1 species
AGAGUUUGAUCCUGGCUCAGAACAAACGCUGGCGGCGUACUUAACACAUGCAAGUCGAACGAGAAAGGGAGCUUCGGCUCCUGAGUAAAGUGGCGAAUGGGUGAGUAACACGUAAGUAAUCUACCCUGAACUCUGGAAUAACUCCCCGAAAGGGGGGCUAAGGCUAGAUAGUGUCCUCGAGGUAUAAGUCGCGAGGGGAAAGCAGGCCUCUAUUAUAAGCUUGCGGUUCAGGAUGAGCUUGCGUCCCAUUAGUUUGUUGGUGAGGUAACGGCUCACCAAGACAGCGAUGGGUAGCUGGUCUGAGAGGAUGAUCAGUCACACUGGCACUGAKACACGGGCCAGACUCCUACGGGAGGCAGCAGUGGGGAAUUUUGCGCAAUGGGCGGAAGCCUGACGCAGUAACGCCGCGUGGAGGACGAAGGCCUUCGGGUUGUAAACUCCUGUCAGGGGGGAAGAAGGGCUUGAGGCUAGAAUAUAUCUUCGAGUUCUGACGGUACCCCCAAAGGAAGCCCCGGCUAAUUCCGUGCCAGCAGCCGCGGUAAUACGGGAGGGGCUAGCGUUGUUCGGAAUUAUUGGGCGUAAAGGGCGCGUAGGUGGUCUUAUGUGUCCGUCGUGAAAGCGCACGGCUCAACCGUGUUAGGUCGGCGGAAACUGUAAGACUUGAGGCUGGGAGGGGCUGGAGGAAUUCCCUGUGUAGCGGUGAAAUGCGUAGAGAUAGGGGAGAACACUCGUGGCGAAGGCGUCCAGCUGGACCAGUCCUGACACUGAGGCGCGAAAGCGUGGGUAGCAAACAGGAUUAGAUACCCUGGUAGUCCACGCCGUAAACGAUGGGCACUAGGUGCUGGCGGUAUUGAUCCCGUCGGUGCCGGCGCUAACGCAGUAAGUGCCCCGCCUGGGGAGUACGGUCGCAAGGCUGAAACUCAAAGGAAUUGACGGGGGCCCGCACAAGCCGUGGAGCAUGUGAUUUAAUUCGACGCAACGCGCAGAACGUACCUGGAUUUGACUUGUACAGGAUCGGCAAUGAAGUUGUCUUCUCUUCGGAGCCUGUACACAG